rnacentral:rRNA from 1 species
UACGGGGGGGGCAAGCGUUGUUCGGAAUUACUGGGCGUAAAGGGCUCGUAGGUGGCCAACUAAGUCAGACGUGAAAUCCCUCGGCUUAACCGGGGAACUGCGUCUGAUACUGGAUGGCUUGAGUUUGGGAGAGGGACGCGGAAUUCCAGGUGUAGCGGUGAAAUGCGUAGAUAUUGGGAAGAACACCUGAGGCGAAGGCGGGUUGCUGGGCUGAUACUGACGCUGAGGCGCGAAAGCCAGGGGAGCAAACGGG